GCUGAUCAGAACACACACAAUACAUUUUUCAGUCUUUCUUUGGUGCUGGUCUUUGAGAGCAUUCAUCCUGCUAGAAGUUAGCUUCGAAUCAGGUCAUUCCUGGUUAUAAUUUGGAACUAUCAUGAUCCCACCCUCAUUUCCAUUCUCAUGUGCCUCUGUUCUGCAGCCAGAAUCUAGUAGAUCUGCUACUAAGGAAGCAGAAUGUACAGUACGAAGAUACUUCAAUUAUUGGUGCCAUAAACUAUAAACCUCUUCAACAUCAAGUUCCAUCUCGGCUUUUAUCAUCCCUCUAAGCAAUUCACCACGCAUUAAUGUAACAGUAAUUGCACUACAUAGGUGGCAUGUCCUCUUUAAUGGAAGAGAAGCAGGGGAAGUUCAUAUGCUUAAUUUAUCAUCCAUACUGGAAUUUAUCCUUUGUGUCAUCAGAAUCGGUACUUUUGGAAGACAAGUAACCUUAAAUUUUGGUUUCAUGAUGCAAAUUAGAAGUGUUUCGUGUUUUAAAACAACUUAUUUGGAAAAGUAGUUUUUAAUGGGGUUAUUGCAUUU